CCUACGGGCGGCAGCAGUGAGGAAUAUUGGUCAAUGGACGUGAGUCUGAACCAGCCAAGUAGCGUGAAGGAUGACUGCCCUAUGGGUUGUAAACUUCUUUUAUAUGGGAAUAAAAUGUUCCACGUGUGGGAUUUUGUAUGUACCAUAUGAAUAAGGAUCGGCUAACUCCGUGCCAGCAGCCGCGGUAAUACGGAGGAUCCGAGCGUUAUCCGGAUUUAUUGGGUUUAAAGGGAGCGUAGGUGGAUUGUUAAGUCAGUUGUGAAAGUUUGCGGCUCAACCGUAAAAUUGCAGUUGAAACUGGCAGUCUUGAGUACAGUAGAGGUGGGCGGAAUUCGUGGUGUAGCGGUGAAAUGCUUAGAUAUCACGAAGAACUCCGAUUGCGAAGGCAGUUCACUGGACUGCAACUGACACUGAGGCUCGAAAGUGUGGGUAUCAAACAGGAUUAGAUACCCCUGUAGUC
rnacentral:rRNA from 1 species